rnacentral:rRNA from 1 species
UACAGAGGUCUCAAGCGUUGUUCGGAUUCAUUGGGCGUAAAGGGUGCGUAGGUGGCGCCGUAAGUCAGGUGUGAAAUUUCGGAGCUUAACUCCGAAACUGCAUUUGAUACUGCGGUGCUUGAGGACUGGAGAGGAGACUGGAAUUUACGGUGUAGCAGUGAAAUGCGUAGAGACCGUAAGGAAGACCAGUGGCGAAGGCGGGUCUCUGGACAGUUCCUGACACUGAGGCACGAAGGCCAGGGGAGCAAACGGG